rnacentral:rRNA from 1 species
AGACAGCAGUAGCCGCGGUAAUACGGAGGGUGCAAGCGUUAAUCGGAAUUACUGGGCGUAAAGCGCACGCAGGCGGUCUGACAAGUCAGAUGUGAAAUCCCCGGGCUUAACCUGGGAACUGCAUUUGAAACUGUCAGGCUGGAGUCUUGUAGAGGGGGGUAGAAUUCCAGGUGUAGCGGUGAAAUGCGUAGAGAUCUGGAGGAAUACCGGUGGCGAAGGCGGCCCCCUGGACAAAGACUGACGCUCAGGUGCGAAAGCGUGGGGAGCAAACAGGAUUAGAUACCCGAGUAGUCCCUGUCUCUUAUAC